UACGGGGGGGGCAAGCGUUGUUCGGAAUUAUUGGGCGUAAAGCGCACGUAGGCGGCCGACUAAGUCGGGUGUGAAAGCCCAGGGCUCAACCCUGGAAGUGCACUCGAAACUGAUCGGCUUGAAUAUGGAAGAGGGUCGCGGAAUUCCCGGUGUAGAGGUGAAAUUCGUAGAUAUCGGGAGGAACACCAGUGGCGAAGGCGGCGACCUGGGCCAAUAUUGACGCUGAGGUGCGAAAGCGUGGGGAGCAAACAGG
rnacentral:rRNA from 1 species